rnacentral:tRNA from 1 species
AGCCUUGAGGUGUUUUACAUAUAGGAUUGCAAAUCCUAAGUUGCAGAGUAAGAUCUGCCGGGGCUU